AUUGAACGCUGGCGGCAUGCCUUACACAUGCAAGUCGAACGGUAACGGGCCUUCGGGUGCCGACGAGUGGCGAGCGGGUGAGUAAUGCAUCGGAACGUACCUUUCAGUGGGGGAUAACGUAGCGAAAGUUACGCUAAUACCGCAUAUUCUGUGAGCAGGAAAGCAGGGGAUCGCAAGACCUUGCGCUGAUUGAGCGGCCGAUGUCAGAUUAGCUAGUUGGUGAGGUAAAGGCUCACCAAGGCGACGAUCUGUAGCGGGUCUGAGAGGGUGAUCCGCCACACUGGAACUAAGACACGGUCCAGACUCCUACGGGAGGCAGCAGUGGGGAAUUUUGGACAAUGGGGGCAACCCUGAUCCAGCCAUGCCGCGUGAGUGAAGAAGGCCUUCGGGUUGUAAAGCUCUUUCGGUCGGGAAGAAAUCGCAUGGGUUAAUACCCUGUGCGGAUGACGGUACCGGCAUAAGAAGCACCGGCUAACUACGUGCCAGCCGCCGCAGUAAUAC
rnacentral:rRNA from 1 species